AGAGUUUGAUCCUGGCUCAGGACAAACGCUGGCGGCGUGCCUAAAACAUGCAAGUCGAACGGGUCACUUCGGUGGUCCGUGGCGGACGGCUGAGUAACACGUAGGUAACCUACCCUGGGGUGGGGAAUAACCCGCCGAAAGGCGGGCUAAUACCGCAUACGAUCCCUGGUCUCUGGAUUAGGGAGGAAAGUGGUGACAUGCCCGAGGAUGGGCCUGCGGCCGAUUAGCUAGUUGGUGGGGUAAGGGCCUACCAAGGCGAUGAUCGGUAGCUGGUCUGAGAGGAUGAUCAGCCAGACUGGGACUGGGACACGGCCCAGACUCCUACGGGAGGCAGCAGUUAGGAAUCUUGGGCAAUGGGCGCAAGCCUGACCCAGCAACGCCGCGUGGGUGACGAAGGCCUUCGGGUCGUAAAGCCCUUUUCCCGGGGAAGAUGAUGACGGUACCCGGGGAAUAAGCCCCGGCUAACUACGUGCCAGCAGCCGCGGUAAUACGUAGGGGGCGAGCGUUGUUCGGAUUUAUUGGGCGUAAAAGGCUUGUAGGCGGCCACCGCGCGUCGUGCGUGAAAUCUCCCGGCUCAACUGGGAGGGGUCGUGCGAUACGGCGGGGCUCGAGGCCGGUAGGGGGACGCGGAAUUCCCGGUGUAGUGGUGGAAUGCGUAGAUAUCGGGAGGGACACCAGUGGCGAAGGCGGCGUCCUGGACCGGUGCUGACGCUGAGGAGCGAAAGCGUGGGUAGCGAUCCGGAUUAGAUACCCGGGUAGUCCACGCCGUAAACGGUGCGCACUAGGUGUCGGGGGUAUCGACCCCCCCGGUGCCGCAGCUAACGCAGUAAGUGCGCUGCCUGGGGAGUACGGCCGCAAGGCUAAAACUCAAAGGAAUUGACGGGGGCCCGCACAAGCAGCGGAGCGUGUGGUUUAAUUCGAUGCAACGCGCAGAACCUCACCUAGGCUUGACAUGCCCCAAGUAGAACCCUGAAAGGGGAACGACUCGUCGAGGCGAGAGGGGGCACAGAUGCUGCAUGGCUGUCGUCAGCUCGUGCCGUGAGGUGUUGGGUUAAGUCCCGCAACGAGCGCAACCCUCGCUGGUAGUUACCAUGUCUACCGGGACCGCCGGUAUCAAACCGGAGGAAGGUGGGGAUGACGUCAAGUCAUCACGGCUCUUACGCCUAGGGCUACACACACGCUACAAUGGCCGGUACAAUGGGACGCCAAGGGGUGACCCGGAGCAAAUCCUAUCAAAGCCGGUCUCAGUUGGGAUUGCAGGCUGCAACUCGCCUGCAUGAACGCGGAGUUGCCAGUAACCGCAGGUCAGCACACUGCGGUGAAUACGUUCCCGGGCCUUGUACACACCGCCCGUCACGUCAUGAAAGUGGGAAACGCCUGAAGUCGGUGUGCCAACCGUAAGGAGGCAGCUGCCGAGGGCGGAGCUCGCGAUUGGGACGAAGUCGUAACAAGGUA
rnacentral:rRNA from 1 species